GUCCACCUUGAGGAUGGAGCCGAAGCCCAGCUCCUUGCCCUUGGCCCGCUUGUGCCCGUCGGGGAAAAGGCUGAGGCUGUCCUUGGUUCAGUUCCAUCGUUUCCUAGGAGCUGACCAUUGUCCACUGCCAUGGGGCCAUUGGGGAAAGCCGGAGCAUCAGGAGGUUACACCCAGCAGCACUGACAUCCCUACCUCUGUGCCCCACUGAUUUUGCCACUCUUUACAACACUGGUUUCCCUGAUCCAGCACGAUAGCCAACAGCAGCAAUUUAUCUAACUUCAGCAAGAUUUAGCUUUUCCUUGCCAAGGGAAUGGUCCAGAUGGACACUAUAUCUGGACAAAUACUCUGGCCACUGAAAUGUCAAAAUUCCUGCCCAAGAGAUUUCAUAAGAAUAAGGGAUCUGAAGCAGGUCCCUGCUGUGCCACCCACAGCCCCCACCAACACGCUGAGGUCAUAUGGACAUGACAAACAUCACUGCAAACCUCAUGGCGGAGAUGAGGAAGGGUGAGACGUGGCUCCUGGGGCCGUUCAGCACAGCCAGCAUUGACGGCUGUGUGCGAGUGGGACAUCCUCACCGCCACCACGCGUCACGUCCCAUUGCGGUUUGUGCCCCAAGUCCCCUCCCAGCUGUCCCGCUCAUGGAAUGAGAGUCUGCGCUCAGUGCAUCAUCCUGGCCGUGCUUUUCACUUUGCUCUGUUUUUUGGCUUUUUUCUACUUUUUUUUUUUAAUCAGCAGUGAGUAAACUUUACGGGUCAACACUGAGAUCAGUUGCCAGAUUGCCUAACCAAAACAUCAGCACAUGCGAGGUGGGGGGAGGAUGGUGAGGUCACGUUACUGCCAAGAUUUGGGUAAUUUCCCAUCUCCAGCCAGGUUGAGGAUUGAUCCCAAACCAAACUCUCAAGCACAUUGCUGCCAGCUCUCUCUCCUUCUCAUAUAUUUAUUUACAUAUGCUCUCUAUGCAUCAGCUUUAGUAGCUUCAUGAAAAUAAUAGAAUCACAGAAUGGCUUGCGUU